ACUCCUACGGGAGGCAGCAGUGGGGAAUAUUGCGCAAUGGGCGGAAGCCUGACGCAGCGACGCCGCGUGAGGGAUGACGGCCUUCGGGUUGUAAACCUCUUUCAGCACAGACCAAGGCCAGUUGAGUGUAUGUGCAGAAGAAGCACCGGCUAACUACGUGCCAGCAGCCGCGGUAAUACGUAGGGUGCUAGCGUUGUCCGGAUUUAUUGGGCGUAAAGGGCUCGUAGGCGGUUUGUCGCGUCGGGUGUGAAAUCCUACUGCUUAACGGUGGCUUGCAUUCGGUAGGCAGACUAGAGUGUGGCAGGGGAGACUGGAAUUCCUGGUGUAGCGGUGGAAUGCGCAGAUAUCAGGAGGAACACCGGUGGCGAAGGCGGGUCUCUGGGCCAUUACUGACGCUGAGGAGCGAAAGCGUGGGGAGCGAACAGGAUUAGAUACCCUGGUAGUCCACGCUGUAAACGUUGGGCGCUAGGUGUGGGGCUGUUUCCACGGUUUGUGCCGUAGCUAACGCAUUAAGCGCCCCGCCUGGGGAGUACGGCCGCAAGGCUAAAACUCAAAGGAAUUGACGGGGGCCCGCACAAGCGGCGGAGCAUGCGGCUUAAUUCGAUGCAACGCGAAGAACCUUACCAGGGCUUGACAUGCACGGUUUACCCGCAGAGAUGCGGGGUCCUUUGGGGCCGUGUGCAGGUGGUGCAUGGUUGUCGUCAGCUCGUGUCGUGAGAUGUUGGGUUAAGUCCCGCAACGAGCGCAACCCUUGUCCUAUGUUGCCAGCACGGUGUGGUGGGGACUCGUGGGAGACUGCCGGGGUCAACUCGGA
rnacentral:rRNA from 1 species